UAAAGUAAAGUAAUGAUGGCUAGCUAGAUGAAUAAUUACAAGUCUAUUGUCUAUACCAAUAAUGUCUAGCAGCUAUUGUUGACACAACUGCCCUUUCCACCGCACAGAACACACAUAGAGACUCCAUCCUUUUUUUUUUUUUUUUUUGAGGGGAUAUAAAAAUAUAUGAACUAAAUAUAUAUGAAGAUGAAUAGCUCUCUUCUUUCCUCCUAGCUAUAAUCUAUGACUGGAAAUCAUAGUUCAUUGCAGGAAUCAAUAGCGUUUUAUGGUUUCAAGCUCCAACCACAAAAAAGCUUUCUCUUAUCCUUCAUCAUUUUCAAACAAACAAACAAAAACAAAACAUAUCAGCAACAUAACAUUAAUUACAAAAUCGCAGAUCAAGAAACACAAAUAUCUAACCAGGAACCUCAAUAAUAUGCUCCAAAACAAGAAUAGUGUAUAGUUACAAACUGAUAGUGAGAAGAACUUUAUUCUAUUUUUAUUUCACUUGGAAAAAAUUGCGUAAAAUUUAUUUUUAUAUAUUUAUACGUAUACAUAACAUAACUGGAACAACUCAUUAGAGUAAUUGCAAGCGCUCACCGGCAGGAAAUGGAGCGAAUUCCUGCCGAAACUAUCAAAACAAUAUCAGCCAGGAUCAACAAACAUGCAUUCCAUCGGUGAGCGCAUCAAAUUCAAGAUCUUUUAAUUAUUAAAAAUGAUUUUUUUUAAUCGAAAAUAAGAAGUAUCGACGGUCAGAAAGUACGUAGUAGUAGCAAUAAGAAGUCAAAACCUUGACUUUGAUGCAGUUCAUCAGCUGAGUAAGGAAAAGGUCGCUAGGGUUUCUUUAGGGUUUGUUAUUUAUGUAAAACUUGUUUGAAUGACAAUGAGAUUGCAACUGGACCACUUGGGUGGCGUUUAACUAGUUAUACUAGUUAUGCGAAACACAAGGAGUCCGAGAGCUUUAGUAUGACAAGAAUUGUGGAGUUUUAUACGUUGCAGCUAUUCUAUUUUGAUCCUUAUCAAAUAUAUACUAGUAUAUAGAGUCAUGAUAGGACUAAAACUUAUUAAGAGAUAGAGAUUAUCACUCUUUCUGAUAAUAGGCUGGACCGAGUGAAUCUCUAGCUAUAUGGAUGGAUAUAUAUAGAUGAAGUCCCUGCUUCCUCAUGCUCUCUCAAAAAUAUUAUCUAAAACCCUAUUCACUUAGAAGAGAGACUUUCGUGUGCUGGAAGUAGAAGACUUCUUCUUCUAUUGUUUCUUCAAUGUCGAUGCCCUCAGGUAAGUGUCUUGCAGACUAUAAACUGGUAUUUCUCUAGUUAUGAUGAAUAUGAUAUUAGUUGGUAAUCCUAGGGUUGUGUUGGUUUGCUGUGUUGCAGUAGCUUAUUUAUUAAUAUACUGCUUACAUGUGGUAUCAGAGCCAACCCAACAUGGCUAGGGUUCCUUAUUCAAUAUAUGGUUAACUCUUGAUAUGAAUGAUCUAUAUGUUUUGCUCUUGUGUCAUUAAAUGCUUCCGCUGCAUACUGACAAUUAAAUCGUAUGAUCAUGAUGUAUAAUCAAUUAUUACCAUAUAUUCCCCCAGUUGUGUUUGCUAUUCUGUGCAGAGAAUAACAUUCAAGAAUAGUUACAAUACUGGGAACUCAAUCAAGAAGACCUUUUGGAUUCAUAUCUUAUUUGUCAAAAGUCGAACUGAUUUUGAGAUUUGAAUCAUAAACAAGAAUUUCAACAACUAAUCUGCUCAAAAGUGUUUAGUUUGUUGAUUUUGGCUUGCUGUCUAAGUAAUUGGACAUGUGAUUUAUUUGUAUCAAGUGAAUAAUAAUCUGCUCAAAAGUGUUUAUUUAUUCAAGUUAAACAAAUGAAUCAAUGUAUAGUGAAAUAUUGAAUUGACAAGAUUGCUUUCUUCAUCUGCUCAAAAGUGUUGGAGUUAUGUAAAUUGCCCUUGUGUUCAAUAUUUUGGCUAUGCAAAUCUAGUAUAAAUGGUUUCUGUCCAAAGAUGAUGCUGUGCUUAUACGAUUAUGUGUUGAGAAGAGAUUAUAUGUAAUCUUUUCUUUUGUUUGCUAACACUUAAUGACUAACAACUAUAAAAUUAAUAUUUGGUUUUUUGCAGCUCCUUAUAUGACAUCUCUCAAUUUCAACAAUAUUGAGACUCUGACCGGUUCUAACUACAAGAAGUGGAAGGAGGAUGUUGAAAUGGUUCUUGGCCUUAUGGAUCUCGAUUUGGCAUUAAGGGAGGAAAAACUUGCAGCAAUUACUGCAGAGAGCACUGCAGAUCAUAAGGCAAAGUUUGAAAAAUGGGAGAGAACAAACCGAAUGUCCCUGAUGAUUAUGAGGAAGGCUAUGGCUCCAUCAGUUAAAGGGGGUGUUCCGAAACAAGACAAUGCAAAAGCUUUCUUGGCUGCAGUUGGGGAAAAAUUUAAAGAAUCUGACAAGGCUGAAACUGGGACUUUUCUCACUCAAAUUACCUCUAUGAAAUUUGAUGGUGAGGGAAGUGUCAGAGAACACAUUCUCAAGAUGGUUGAUCUUGCUCAGAAAUUAAAGGAUCUCGAAGUACCCAUGACUGACCAGUUCUUAGUUCACAUGGCCUUGAACUCAUUGCCUCCAAAAUAUGGGCAGCUCAAGGUUUCUUAUAACACUCAGAAAGACAAAUGGAGCAUUGAUGAACUGAUCACUAUGUGUGCGCAAGAAGAAGAUCGGCUCAAGAGUGACAAAUCAGUAGAUGUGAAUUUUGUGCAAGGAGAAAAACGCAAAAGGGACUUCACUCAAAGUUCAACCGUGGCUGCUGGUAAGAAGAAGAAGAAAGAAAUUUCUUCUACUUUUAAAAAUACUAACAUCAUCUCUAAAGGAUCUCAUAAAUUAAAGCCUGUUAACUUUGAACCUGAGAAAGAAAAAGAGUGUUAUUUUUGCAAAGAAACAGGUCACUUAAGAAAGAACUGCAAUGGCUUCAAGAAUUGGCUUGUUAAGAAAGGUAAUGAAAUAAAUAUUUUUGUGUGUGUUGAGUCUAAUUUAGUUUAUGUUCCUCCUCAAAGUUGGUGGUUUGACACAGGCUGCUCUAUUCACAUAACUAAUUCUUUGCAGGGCUUCUCAAAAACAAGGGUGAUAAACAAUGAAGUCUACAAUGUUUAUAUAGAGAAUGGCAGCAAAGUUGUUGUCGAAUCCAUAGGAAGUGUCAAAUUAGUUCUUUCCUCUAGCUUUAUUUUAAAUUUAAGUCCAGUACUCUAUGUACCUUUCAUGAGAAGGAAUUUGAUUUCUGCAUCUAAGUUAGUUAAGUCCGGCUUUACAUUUGUGGGUGACAGUCAAAGUGUAAAGUUUUUUCAUUCCAAUGACUUGAAUAAAUUGCUUGGUGAAGCGUAUCUUAAAGUUGAUAUGUGGCAAAUGAGUUGUACUUAUGAGAUUGAAUGUUUUAAUGUUCAAAGUGUUGGUUCAAAACAAGUGCUCACUCAUGAAAAAACCUCCAUGCUUUGGCACAAAAGGUUGGGGCACAUUUAUAAAGAAAGAAUCAUCACACUUACCAAACAAAACUUGUUGCCACAGCUUGAUUUCACCAACUUUAAAGAGUGUGUUGAUUGUUUUAAAGGAAAACUCACCAAUACUAGGAAAAUAGGGUCAAACCGUAGCCAAUCUCUACUAGAAAUUAUACACACUGAUAUUUGCGGACCCUUUCCAAUUAAAACCAUAUGUGGAAAAUCAUAUUUUAUAACUUUCAUUGAUGAUUUUUCACGGUUUGCAUAUGUAUUUCUGAUUUUUGAAAAAUCUGAAGCCUUGCAUUGUUUUAAAAUAUUCCGUUUGGAAGUUGAAAAACAACUAGAAAAACACAUUAAGAUUGUGAGAUCCGAUAGAGGUGGUGAGUAUUUUGGCAGGUUCACUGAGGCUGGAUAAAACAAAGGACCGUUUGCAGCUUAUCUUGAACAAAAUGGCAUCGUGGCCCAGUAUACCACUCCUGGGACUCCACACCAGAAUGGAGUUGCUGAACGAAGGAAUCGAACCCUGAAAGACAUGAUCAGAUCCAUGUUUGCACAUUCAAAGCUUCCAAUGUUUCUUUGGGGUGAAGCACUGAAAACUGCAAACUAUAUAUUGAACCGUGUACCAAGCAAGUCCGUAGACAUGGUUCCAUUUGAAGCUUGGACUGGAAGGAAACCGAGCUUUCAUCACUUUCGUGUAUGGGGUUGUAAUGCUGAGGCCAGAUUCUAUAAUCCAACAGAGAAAAAACUCGAUCCAAGGACCACCAGUUGCAAGUUCAUUAGGUAUUCUGAGAAGUCUAAAGGGUAUAAGUUCUAUUGCCCUAACAGUCACUCGAGGGUUAUGGAAACUCAUAAUGCAAGAUUUCUUGAAGAUGAGGAUGAAACUGACAUCAAAAUAUCAGCAGCUACAUUCUCAGAAUUCGAUGAAAUUACACUUGAUAACGACGUUAUUGAUCCGCAUGCACCUACUCUUUCCAUUCCCGUGGACCUACAGCCACACCCUUUUCAUGACAGUUCACAUACGGUUCAUGAAAAUGAUACAACAAAUCAGGAGUAUGCACCCCAUGCAGACGUCCAGGAACAUGAAGUACAUGCACCAGUACAAUUAACUGAAGAAGACCUUAUGAAUGAUCCAGCAACUGCAGUUUUCGAAUCAACUAUUCGAAAAUCACAGCGAGUACGUAAGCCAGCAUUGUUGCCUGAUUUCGUAUACCUAAAUGAGGCAGAACAUACUAUAGGUGAUGAAGAUGAUCCCUUGUCCUACAAUCAAGCCAUAACAAGUUCAAGAUCCACACUAUGGAAGCAAGCCAUGCAUGAAGAACUAGAGUCCAUGGAGAAAAACCGUGUGUGGAGCUUAGUUUCAAAGCCAACUGGAACAACAAAAAUUAUUGGUUGUAAAUGGGUGUUCAAGACAAAACGAGACUCACAAGGCAACAUUGACAAACACAAAGCAAGGUUAGUGGCAAAGGGCUUUACACAAAGGGAAGGCAUUGAUUAUAAUGAGACAUUUUCCCCAGUCUCAACAAAAGAUUCCAUGAGAAUAAUCCUCGCUCUCACAGCACAUUUUGAUUUAGAACUUCAUCAAAUGGACGUCAAGACGGCAUUUCUAAAUGGAGAGCUUGAAGAAGAUAUUUACAUGCAACAAGCACCUGGAUUUGUUGAAAGGGGGAAGGAAACGAUGGUUUGUAAACUGAAUAAGUCUAUAUACGGCUUAAAACAAGCCUCGAGGCAAUGGAAUAGGAAAUUUGAUCAGGUAAUGGCAGCUUCUGGUUUCCAAGAGAACAAAUUGGAUGAGUGUAUUUAUAUCUGAAAGUCCUUGGUGCGAAGGUCAUAUUCUUAGUAUUGUAUGUAGACAAUAUAUUAUUAGCUAGCUCCGAUAUGUCUCUCUACUACAGGCAACUAAGAGUAUGCUCACACAAAACUUUGACAUGAAGGACUUGGGGGAAGCUCGAUUUGUUCUGGGAAUAGAAAUAGUAAGAGAUCGUGCUAUGAAGUCUCUUGGUCUUUCUCAAAGGCAGUAUAUCGAUAGAAUUGCUAAAAGAUUCAAUAUGGACAAAUGUUCGAAUGGAGAAUUGCCUAUCGGCAAAGGAGACAAACUGAGCAGUGAUCAAUGUCCCAAAAAUGAAUUAGAAAAUGAGGGAAUGAAAGACAAGCCCUAUGCAUCUCUUGUAGGGAGUCUAAUGUAUGCUCAGGUAUGUACAAGACCGGAUUUGGCUUUUGCACUGAGCGUGCUUGGUAGGUUUCAAUCAAAUCCUGGUGCAUGUCAUUGGGUUGCAGCGAAAAAGGUACUGAGGUAUCUCAAAAGAACAAGAGAUUUUAUGUUAACUUACAGUCAUGGGAACAAGCUGGAAUUGGUGGGGUUUACGGAUUCGGACUUGGCAGGGUGCGUAGACGACAGAAAGUCAACUAAUGCAUAUAUCUUUAUGUUGGCUAAUGGUGCAGUAUCGUGGAAGAGUGCAAAACAGAAAGGUAUUGCAUCUUCAACUAUGGAAGCUGAAUUUGUAGGGUGCUAUGCAACAACUCAACAAGCUGUUUGGCUUAAAAACAUGAUGAAAGGAUUGGAAAUUGUUGACAGUGUUGAAAAGCCUCUCAAGUUGUAUUGUGACAACAAAGCUGCAGUUUUCUUUUCGAAGAAUAACAAGAGGUCUUAUGCCAGCAGAUUGAUGGACAUCAAAUACUUAAAAGUACGAGAUGAAGUGAAGAAAGGAACUGUCGAAAUUGAGUACAUCAACACAAGUUUAAUGGUUGCUGAUCCAAUGACAAAGGCUUUACCAGUGGGAGUUUUCAAGAAACAUGUUUUCAACAUAGGAGUAAGAGAGGUUUUUGAUUCAGUUAAUGAGUGGGAGUAAGCACUCCUUAAACUGUGAUGAGUUUAUCUCAAUUAUUUUGUUUAUUGAUUGACAGUUGUUAGUUGGCUUGCAAAUUUGUUAUCUUUAAUAAUUUGCUUAAAUUGGCUGAUCAUGUUUCUGCAAACAACUUUGGUACUGGAAUUAUUUCAGUUUGUUAUGGAGAACUGACAUUCUGAAUUGUCAGUUCUUGACAUCAUGACUCUCAAGAGUGACAUAGUGUUUUUAAGUUAAAUAUGUAUGUGAUCACAGAGUGCAAAGUGCAAGCUGUACGUGCCUUGUUUUCUGUGGUCCUAUAUUUUUCUUAAAAAUGACAAGUUACUAAGAAGGAUCAGUUGCAAGCUUUUGUGAACUCUAUGAUCAUCAUGAUUCUUGUAAUACUAAGGCAUAUCAUUGACAUUCAAGUGAGAGAAUGUAAAACUUGUUUGAAUGACAAUGAGAUUGCAACUGGACCACUUGGGUGGCGUUUAACUAGUUAUACUAGUUAUGCGAAACACAAGGAGUCCGAGAGCUUUAGUAUGACAAGAAUUGUGGAGUUUUAUACGUUGCAGCUGUUCUAUUUUGAUCCUUAUCAAAUAUAUACUAGUAUAUAGAGUCAUGAUAGAACUAAAACUUAUUAAGAGAUAGAGAUUAUCACUCUUUCUGAUAAUAGGCUGGACCGAGUGAAUCUCUAGCUAUAUGGAUGGAUAUAUAUAGAUGAAGUCCCUGCUUCCUCAUGCUCUCUCAAAAAUAUUAUCUAAAACCCUAUUCACUUAGAAGAGAGACUUUCGUGUGCUGGAAGUAGAAGACUUCUUCUUCUAUUGUUUCUUCAAUGUCGAUGCCCUCAGGUAAGUGUCUUGCAGACUAUAAACUGGUAUUUCUCUAGUUAUGAUGAAUAUGAUAUUAGUUGGUAAUCCUAGGGUUGUGUUGGUUUGCUGUGCUGCAGUAGCUUAUUUAUUAAUAUACUGCUUACAAUUUAUUCACAUUUGUCCUAGGGGUUCUUGUGGUUGACACGUAGCAAGAUGUGGGCCUGGGGGGUAAAUAAGUCGAAAAAAGGAGGUGGGUUAGUGAUAAAAUUCAAUAACAAGCAGAUCAACAAGUCAGCGUAGCUCCGGACUACGAAGAUCAUAGUUGAGAUGUGGGGAUUUAUGAGAAACCUUUGGAUUUUAUGUGGUGAAAAGUUAUUGAGAUUGAGGUUUGUUUUCAGGGUUGUAUUGUUUUCAAUUUGGAAGGUAUUAGAGUCUAUUCAAGUGUGAUUUUGGCCAUAUUUGAAGAUUUUUAUAAAAGUUGGAAAAACAUGAAAAAUCAGGGUACUGCCCUAAAGGCCACAACUUAAUUUUCAACCUUGACGAACAUAUCCGCAACCUUGGCUCCGUGCCACUAGAAGGUUCUGAUCAUUACAUCGUUACACAUAGAUUAAAACCAUAUUCAAUUAGACUCGGAAGUAUCUUUAAGUGAGAUGUCAAAUGUAUAAUCUUGAAGUUUUAUUUGACGGCCGCAUGAGGAUCUCAAAUUUGACAUUUCUUUAGAUCAAUAUGCUAAUCAUACACUAGAACUCAAAAGUACAAAAUUCAUAAUCCUUGAAAGAAACAAAUUGAAGUGAGAAACACAGAUAAUAAGGAGAUUGAACACCCACCCAUUUAUUCGAUUUCUGUCAAUUAAUCUCAACAAUUGGCCUUAGGACCCAACAAGCUCUUGCUCCACGUUGGGUUAUAUGGGAACCUUUUGGAGAGUCCUCUGUGAAACUUAACGUUAACAGCUUGGUUGAAGCUUCGAUCACUAGUACUGCUGCUCUGGAUGUCGCAAUUCAUAACUCUGCUGCUUGCAGGUGAGAGAUUAAUUAUCGAACCCAAAAAGACAUUUGGGUAAGGCCUAUUCUUAGCUCUUGGAAACACCGGUUGUGUUUUUGUGCAUUCAGAUCGAGGGCUAGGGUUACUGAUCUAAUUGGGUGUGUGUGAGGUAAUUAAUUAGUAAAUCAAAUUCUGCAACUGGGUUGGUUGGGACUUGUGAGGCUCCCCGCAGUUUUCGUUGUAUUAUAUUCACACAAACAAACAUAAUUAUGUGAAGAAAAAAAAAAUUGAUGAACAAUUAUGUGACAUUUAACUUUAUAUGAAUAUUCUUGUUUCAAAAAAAAUGUUUUUGAAUAUUCUAAUCUAUAAGGUUGUGGAUAUGGCUGUGACAUGUGUUGGAAUCUACUGGAAUCUCAAACUCAUGGUGAAAGCUUAUGUUAUUUGUGGUCUCGGCUCGUAGAGAAUUUUGGGGCAUAUCUUUAGGUGUUAUUUGCGCAUUUUAUAGAUCAUUUUUAAAUAAAAUAAAAUCAUUUAUUAAUAUUUAUUAUU
rnacentral:lncRNA from 1 species